rnacentral:rRNA from 1 species
AUGAACGCUGGCGGCGUGCCUAAUACAUGCAAGUCGAGCGAACAGAUGAGGAGCUUGCUCCUCUGACGUUAGCGGCGGACGGGUGAGUAACACGUGGAUAACCUACCUAUAAGACUGGGAUAACUUCGGGAAACCGGAGCUAAUACCGGAUAAUAUAUUGAACCGCAUGGUUCAAUAGUGAAAGACGGUUUUGCUGUCACUUAUAGAUGGAUCCGCGCCGCAUUAGCUAGUUGGUAAGGUAACGGCUUACCAAGGCGACGAUGCGUAGCCGACCUGAGAGGGUGAUCGGCCACACUGGAACUGAGACACGGUCCAGACUCCUACGGGAGGCAGUAGUAGGGAAUCUUCCGCAAUGGGCGAAAGCCUGACGGAGCAACGCCGCGUGAGUGAUGAAGGUCUUCGGAUCGUAAAACUCUGUUAUUAGGGAAGAACAAAUGUGUAAGUAACUAUGCACGUCUUGACGGUACCUAAUCAGAAAGCCACGGCUAACUACGUG